rnacentral:rRNA from 1 species
GAUGAACGCUGGCGGCGUGCCUAAUACAUGCAAGUCGAGCGAACAGACGAGGAGCUUGCUCCUCUGACGUUAGCGGCGGACGGGUGAGUAACACGUGGAUAACCUACCUAUAAGACUGGGAUAACUUCGGGAAACCGGAGCUAAUACCGGAUAAUAUAUUGAACCGCAUGGUUCAAUAGUGAAAGACGGUUUUGCUGUCACUUAUAGAUGGAUCCGCGCCGCAUUAGCUAGUUGGUAAGGUAACGGCUUACCAAGGCAACGAUGCGUAGCCGACCUGAGAGGGUGAUCGGCCACCCUGGAACUGAGACACGGUCCAGCCUCCUACGGGAGGCAGCAGUAGGGAAUCUUCCGCAAUGGGCGAACGCCUGACGGAGCAACGCCGCGUGAGUGAUGAAGGUCUUCGGAUCGUAAAACUCUGUUAUUAGGGAAGAACAAAUGUGUAAGUAACUAUGCACGUCUUGACGGUACCUAAUCAGAAAGCCACGGCUAACUACG